rnacentral:lncRNA from 1 species
UUCAUGUUAAAAUGUGAAUUUUAAUCGUAAAAACUGUUUUCUGUAAAUAUAGUUAUAUCAACCUCUCUGCAUACAGCUUGGUUCAGAUAUAUACAGAUAUGAUAUACACAGAUGUUAUCUGUAGCACAGAACAUAAUCAGUUCAAGAAACAUGUGCCCGCUGGGAUGAACCCCAGCUUUCCUUAGGCCUUCUAAAUGAUUACCACCGAAGAGAGAACAGCAGAGCCAGAUGCAGGACAUUCAGGGAGAUGUAUCAACUGUCUUACUAAUUUCAUCAAAAUAGGGGUUUGACAUUUAAGGCGACGGGGAGGCUAUGCUGAUCUUACACUUGGAAAACACAGAACUUCUCCCAAGUUUCUUUUUCAGAAAAGACUUACUUGUCAGACCGAUUUAAAAAAAAAAUUCAGCCAACAAGCCUGAGAUGUACAAAGGAGGUUAGUUUUGUUUUCCUUGACCCCAUACCCCUCAGGUCUCCUACCCAGUCUUAUCAAAAGCACAGAACCUACAGCUUUCCUCACUGGUCUUGGAGGGCUAGACUGAAACGCAAUCUUUGAUUUGGACAAAGGAAGGAGUUUUCACUCCAAUGUCAACAAUAUAUGUUGACAAUCCGAUAACUCAGUGACCAGUGUGUGGGUUUUUCAUUUUGUGGAUCAUCUCUGGCUAGUUCAUAAAACCCUACACCCCACCUCCGCAUCCCCCAACUGUCCUUAGCAAAACAGAUGUACCAUUAGUGUAAAGAGGCAUUCUAUGGCAAAGAGAGGUGGUUCGUACCCAUCUGUUUAUGGUGAUUAAAUACAUUUCCUGAAUUGAGAUCCUAUUACCUGUAAAAGCCCAUUCAGUGCUGAGCUUCUAGAAUAAAUGCUAAAGAGAUGAGAGCAGGGCUUUACUUCUCCAUCAUCAGUUCUCUAUAUAGUACUAGAAAAUUAUUUCCUUUCUAAAUGUGCAGUUUCAUCUAACAGUCCCUGUAUUCCAGCUCCAAAAAAAUGAGCUAAAGUGACAGUUAUAAAACUACCUCUGGCUCCCUCUAGUUAAGAGGCCUAGCAAUCAGCCUGAUCACAUUCACCCCCUUUCGUACAGGAGUCUUACUUAAAGUUGGUGACUGUAUGUCAUCCUCCAUAGGACUGUCAACUUUAUCUCCUCAAAAGGCUGUUAGAUUUCACAGGACAGUCCUUAUUCACUCACCAGAACAUUUAAAUAAAAAACAAACAAAAGGGGGUCUCAGCUGCUUCCAAAUGGUAAUACUGCCCAUUUCUUCCAGGAUUAUCAUUUUGAUAUUUCCUUCCAUUUCAACAUCUGCAUCCUCAAUGCAUCACAUAGUCAUACCAAUAUAAAAAUAAACUUCCAUUUCUUAUCAGAAAAACAUUAACUUAAUUCACAGUUAGCCUUUUUCCACCACACUCGGCCCUCCAGUAGCUCCUGGGAACAGAGGUAUAUUAGUAAUACAAAUGGAAUAUUAAAAAAUCCAUCCUUGACUUGGGAGUAAAAGGAGCCCUGAGCUCCUCUUCCCCUACACCUGAAUCACAAAAGGGCUUUCCUGAAAGGAGAGGGGUGGGCUGGCCUGCUGAGGCGACCCCAGGCACACGGGAGCCUCAACACAGGGCACUACAUGCAGGCACAGCAGGAGUGCAGAGAAGAGACCGAGGACUGGCCCUUUCAGAGUCCAGGCCCACAGCCAGGAGCCUACCGGGGAGAUGAGAGCCCAUUUGACACACACUGGUCCCCAUAUUACUACCUUUCCUGCCUGGUUGAGAACUGUCAUCGCGUCAAGGCAAGUUCAUUGUCAAGCUGAACGCUUGGUCUUAUUCAGCAGCAACCCCCUCCACCCCGCCCCUUCCUGUACCUCUGUGAGUAUGAUCCUCCUGGGACGGGAGAAAGCACCUCAGUUCAUUCCCUGGGCUCUGUGGUUUCUUUUCCUUCUUUGAUUUAGCAGUCCAGAGUCAGGGCUGACUCUUUGCAACCCCAUGGACUGUAGCUCACCAGGUUCCUCUGUCCAUGGCAAGAACACUGGACCUGGUGGGCUACACUCCACAGGGUCGCAAAGAGUUGGACAUGACUGAGCAACUGAACACACACACACGUACAGCUUG